AGAAAGUAGACAACAGCAAUAAAAAAGCAAACAAGAGAUAAUAAAAAAAAACAAGCAGAAGAAUAUUUUUUACACAAAAAAAGCAACAAAAAAACAAUAACAACAAAACAAAGAAACUCGAAAAAAUAGAGACAAAAAGGAAGCAAUAAAAACCUGAUCAAAAUGAUCCACCCCCAGGCGUAGAGUGACCAAGCUUCAUGUAAUCUGGAAAGGAAUAAAUCGAAAGGAUAAUUAAAACUAUAUUCCGACACAUGCACACACAGACGCACAGGCUCACUAUUGGAUGGCAUUAUCAGGGUGUUAGUGUUGUUGUUGUGUACGUGAGAGGUUGCGUAAACUGAGGAAACGCCAGCUGACUCCUUCUUCUCCGACCGACACCAGACACGGUCGCGUCACGCCACCCAGGGAAAGUGUUACUUUGAAGGACAAGAUGGUGGCGCGCGCGUGGUACCACCGAACUAACAAACCAACCGGAGCUUCAAACCCGACGCGAACGUGGCGACAGGAGAGAAAGACGCAAGGGACCACCACCACGCCAUCGAAAUGUGCGAAUGCGAAACCAAACAUGCCUUUUUCGAGUGGGGAGAUGUCACGCAGCAUGCUGUGGUGGCGGCCGUUGUGUUUGCAAAAAAGGUAGGAAAGGAGUGCGGUCGAAUCGAAAGACACAAACAACAGUCGCAGCAAGCAUUGGUGCCAUUGAUUCCGCCAACGGUGUGUACACGGGAAGGAUGGUUUUGGGACCAUCAAUGAGCAAAGUAGCAGCAAUGUUGCCGUGGUCAUCGUUGUUGUAAUCCCAAAAAUAAAGACGAAUGUCAAUGUCGAGCGGGGCGAGCGUGUGUGUUUGUGUGUGGUGUGAUUAGAUGAUACCGAUUUCAAACGACACACACGGUGGGACGGACACGCUAGCAACGUGGUGUCUGUCGGUGUCAGAUUCAAACGAUAAUAGUAAUUUCAAUCGAGAGAGAGAGAGAUAGAGAGAUAGAGAGAUAGAGAGAGAGAGAGAGAGAGAGAGAAAGAGAGAGAGAGGGAGAGGGAGAGCAACAACUCUAAUAGAAUGUUUGAAAAUGGUGCGUGCGUGGUGUUGUUACAAUUUAAU